rnacentral:sRNA from 1 species
AUAUCUCUCUGUACGGGAAGGAUGAGAAGCUUCGACUAAGGUUCGAUUCGAGCGUCAGCGAGAAAGCGUUGCCGCAGGCAACGACCCGAAGGGCGAAGCGCGCAG